AACGACUCUCGGCAACGGAUAUCCCGGCUCUCGCAUCGAUGAAGAACGUAGCGAAAUGCGAUACUUGGUGUGAAUUGCAGAAUCCCGUGAACCAUCGAGUCUUUGAACGCAAGUUGCGCCCGAGGCCAUUAGGCUAAGGGCACGUCUGCCUGGGUGUCACGC
rnacentral:rRNA from 1 species